UGGCAAGAUUGAAUACUUACCGAUUUCCACAAACAAACAUUCCAACGGACCGUAAGGUCACAUAUUACAAAGUGCGCAGUAUUUCCUUUGUCACUUGAUUGUGUCAUUGUUAGUGAUUCACUGAGUUUUGAUUAACUUCUAUUAAAAUUAAUUACAUUGUUUUGGUACACAGAGCAAUAAAUAACCUCACUUUUUGAAUGUCUCCGUUUGACAGAUCAAUGCGUUACGUUCCAUUCUUUUAGUAUAGAAGAAAUGUAUAAUGAAAUUAAAUAUUCAACACUAAAUUUUUUUAAAACUUAAUAUUUAGGCUCUUUAAUUUAAAUUCUAGCUAUUUCUAGUAUUUUCCUCAAUGUUUAUAUUAAAAUAACAUUGUAAUGUAUCUUGAUCGAUCAUGGGUUCGGAACGUUCUAGAAAUUUGACAUAUUCUGAGCGAAACGAAACGCGCGGGAGACGGUCCGAAUACUGUGAGUGACGUUUCUUCUGUUUCUAAAAGUUAAAUAAAUUAAUUAAAUUUAAAUCGGAGGAGCAGUUUUGUGAGUUCUCAUAUCAAGAUUAUUCAAUAAGAGGCUGGUUGACUCAAAUAAAACUUAUUAGAAAAAGAAAUAAAAAAUAGAAACGAAGAAACAUUUUUAUGGUUUGUUAUUGUUGGGUUCGAUUCGGACCACAAGUCACGGGUGAUGACCGGCGCUUUUUGGAGUGACCUUUUCUUUGCUCGACCGGCCGUGCGCUUGGACGGAAGUUCGUUAGUGUGUGGUGUUGUGGCAUUCUGAGUCGGCCCUAAAUGUGCCAUUCCCAACUCAAACGGGCAGGGCACGCAGAUUAUUGUUGUUGAAAUAAAGGAAUUCCGGUUGGACACCGAAAUCCCGCUGUUCGCCGAUUUUGCGGACUCACUGCCACGUGCUGAGUUCUGUUACUGAAGAUUGUGUGUGGUUGAGCAGUGCUCGGUGGCGAGCCUCUGCGCUGUUGCUGUCUGUUGUUGAUGUUGCUGAUGUUGCCUCCAUAGCAGGUAUGUUGUGGUUUCUUUCUCAAACUCAUUCGCCUCUCCGCUGAGUUAGGAUGAAUUAGUAGAAACGUCCACCACGGUCCAGGGCUACCCUACUUCAUAGGAGGUGUAUGGUACCGGCUGCUCUGUUGGCACCGGCUAUCAGGUGUUUGGCACCGGCGGUCCCGCAGUGCCGGACGCUUGCUGCGCCCGACGGGUGCGAAGGGGGUUGAGCCGAGUGGUGAUAUUAGCGCGCUGAUCUUAGUCUAGUAAUUUUAGUCUGUACCAACCAAACGGCCCAACGACCCAUCCCUUAAUUUUUCUUUUUAAAUAUUUGUGUCAAUCACAAUAAAUUGUUGUCAAUUUAAA